UGCGUAGGCGGCGCGCUAAGUCAGUGGUGAAAGCCUCCCGCUCAACGGGAGAAAUGCCAUUGAUACUGGCGUGCUUGAGUACGGACGAGGUAGGCGGAAUUUAUGGUGUAGCGGUGAAAUGCAUAGAUACCAUAAAGAACACCGAUAGCGUAGGCAGCUUACUAGACCGUAACUGACGCUGAGGCACGAAAGCGUGGGGAGCGAACAGGAUUAGAUACCCUGGUAGUCA
rnacentral:rRNA from 1 species